rnacentral:lncRNA from 1 species
AGAGAGGUCAUUAGAAUUGACACAAGAAUUGCAUGAGGGAGGAGAUGGCCAAGACUACAGGAUCAUGCCAGAAUCAGAACAGAAGCUGUGUCCUGUAUCAGAAUCUGAAAAAGCCCAAGUUGCAUGAAUGAAGGAUCUGCAGGUGAUUCAUAGGCUCGGAGAAGUUGGAGAAGCUCCGGUCUAGGUACGCCUGCCGAGAUUCUCAGGAGUGCAGAAAGUGGGAAACCGUCAGCAGUACCAGCCAUCACCAGCACUGACACCCAGGAUGCCAUUAGGAAGAGGUCCAAGACUAGCAGGGCAGCCGCUGUGAGCCUGGAAACUGCUUGGGUGCCUUGAGAUGGGCUGUUACAUCCACGGUGGCUCAGGGCUUCCUCUAUGAAGCAUCGACUCUCCUGGGCUUUCAGCUGGACAUUCAGGAUUCAAAGAUGAGUGCAGAGUCACAGAGACAAACGAGACCCAGUGCUGCGGGGACACAGAGGCCGGGGCCAAGAAUUCCUCCAGGUGGCUCAUGCCUGUAAUCCCAACACUUUGGAAGGCCAAGCGGGCGGAUCACUUGAGGUCAGGAGUUUGAGACCAGCCUGGCCAACAUGGUGAAACCCCAUCUCUACCAAAAAUAUAAAAAAUUAGCCAGGCAGUGGUGGCAUGCACCUGUAAUCUCAGCUGCUUGGGAGGCUGAGGGAGGAGAAUCACUUGAGCCCGGGAGACAAAGGUUGCAGUGAGCUGAGAUCGUGCUACCACACUCCAGCCUGUUGGAAGUUGACUGCAGUUGAAUAACAGAACAAAAACGGAGCUUCAAAAUCAUGGCGUGCCUGCUUCUUCUGGGUUCUUUUAACUGCAAGCAAUCAGCUUUGAAGAGCACCUCAAGAAUAACAUUUACAUAUGAAAGAAAAUAGGAGAUGGCUCAGAAUAAUAUGUCCAAGGCCACGCCCAGGCGUCAGGGAUUCAUGAAUUUUGUAUACAGUGUAUGAUGUUUCUAGAUUAAAAUAUUUUCAAAGGUAACAUGAUAUAGGCUCCCUCUGUAAUGACUGCAUUUGAUUAUGCUCUGGUAAUUCUAUCAGCUAACUUUAUCUCAGAAAUGUGGGGUACCCACAAUGCAGUGCCUCAACUGUAACCAUAUACCAUUCAGUGAGGCUGUCUAGCUUCACCCUGUCAUUGUGGGGUGGCAGAAGGGAGACACUGUGAUGGGCAACAAGUCAAUCCAAUACUCCUACAAGAGCCAGAUGGAUGUAUUAUUUAUAGUCAGUCUUAGGGCUGUCGUCCUUUUGGGAGUGCGCAUGAAUUUGAUGACCAGCUGUUACAAAUUUGUUAUCCUGAAACUAUUUUAGAAGUUGGGGGGAAGGGAGGAAAGCCUUUUAAAAGUGCGAGUAAAGCAGUAUUUG